rnacentral:rRNA from 1 species
AUGAACGCUGGCGGCGUGCCUAAUACAUGCAAGUCGAGCGAACGGACGAGAAGCUUGCUUCUCUGAUGUUAGCGGCGGACGGGUGAGUAACCCGUGGAUAACCUACCUAUAAGACUGGGAUAACUUCGGGAAACCGUAGCUAAUACCGGAUAAUAUUUUGAACCGCAUGGUUCAAAAGUGAAAGACGGUCUUGCUGUCACUUAUAGAUGGAUCCGCGCUGCAUUAGCUAGUUGGUAAGGUAACGGCUUACCAAGGCAACGAUGCAUAGCCGACCUGAGAGGGUGAUCGGCCACACUGGAGCUGAAGCACGGUCCAGACUCCUGCGAGAGGCAGCAGUAGGGAAUCUUCCGCAAUGGGCGAAAGCCUGACGGAGCAACGCCGCGUGAGUGAUGAAGGUCUUCGGAUCGUAAAACUCUGUUAUUAGGGAAGAACAUAUGUGUAAGUAACUGUGCACAUCUUGACGGUACCUAAUCAGAAAGCCACGGCUAACUACGUG